UAAAAGCUGGGUUAGUUGCAAUCAAAGCCAUACUGCUAACGCUUUGUUUCAGAUGUAAGAAUUUAUUCAUUGAACAAAUAUCCACUCGACUAUGAAUAUGUACAAUUCACAGUUGGAAGUGAAACAGCUAAUUGGGAGCCAGAAAUUGCCAGAACAACCGUCAGGGUAAUAAUAUCCACAAAUAUUCAUCAAUGUGAGCACCACCUUCACUUCAGCUUGUGUGGAAGCAGAUCCUGCCAUUUUUUCUCUUACUUUCAAAUGACACCACAGAAUACCGGAAAUGGAGGAGGUCUCAGGAGGCUGUGUGGUCCAUUCUGUCUCAUUUAUCACACAAGAAAGAGAUGAGAGAAAGUAACUAAAUCAAUUACAUGAUCACCCAGACAGAGGUGGAGUGAGAACCUCAAGAUAAGCCUGCCUUGAAUUCCAAGCCCACAUUCCUUCUCUUCCACAAGAGCUGGCUCUCAAGAGAAAUGAACACGAGAACCCUGAAAGCAUCACUCUCUACACAGGGCAGACUGGAGACCUCGAUGUCUUCUCACAUCAUAACGCUGAAUUAUGCUUACAAAAUGUUCGAAAACAUCUUUUUACGUGACUAGAUGAGCCUGUAAGGCGAUAAGGGACGUGUGCCAUACACAGGAACAAAGGAAGAGUUGGAGUAGUCAUCAAGCACUGCAGUCACUGGAGAGAGGGACACUGGACCAGAGAGCCUCAGAUAGAGGGACACUUAGAACACGGGGGAAUAAGGGACGAGUGUUGGGUCUGAGCAGGUAAAGAACACAAAUGAAGACCAUCUCCAAAAAGGUGAGACCUGAGAAGGACCAUACUCUCCGGGCAAGAGUGAAUUAGGAAGAAAAACAGCCACCUCUCUGAGAACAGUAAGAAAAAAUAUGUCUCAACCUUGACUUUAUGUAGAUAUUUUAUAAAAUGUCCUC